UACGAAGGGGGCUAGCGUUGCUCGGAAUCACUGGGCGUAAAGCGCACGUAGGCGGAUCGUUAAGUCAGGGGUGAAAUCCUGGAGCUCAACUCCAGAACUGCCUUUGAUACUGACGACCUUGAGUUCGGGAGAGGUGAGUGGAACUGCGAGUGUAGAGGUGAAAUUCGUAGAUAUUCGCAAGAACACCAGUGGCGAAGGCGGCUCACUGGCCAGAUACUGACGCUGAGGCGCGAAAGCGUGGGGAGCAAACAGG
rnacentral:rRNA from 1 species